rnacentral:rRNA from 1 species
GACGAACGCUGGCGGCGUGCUUAACACAUGCAAGUCGAACGGAAAGGCCCUGCUUUUGUGGGGUGCUCGAGUGGCGAACGGGUGAGUAACCCGUGAGUAACCUGCCCUUGACUUUGGGAUAUCUUCAGGAAACUGGGGCUAAUACCGGAUAGGAGCUCCUGCUGCUUGGUGGGGGUUGGAUAGUUUCGGCGGUUGGGGAUGGACUCGCGGCUUAUCAGCUUGUUGGUGGGGUAGUGGCUUACCAAGGCUUUGACGGGUAGCCGGCCUGAGAGGGUGACCGGCCACAUUGGGACUGAGAUACGGCCCAGACUACAACGGGAGGCAGCAGAGGGGAAUAGUGCACAAUGGACGGAAGCCUGAUGCAGCAACGCCGCGUGGGGGAUGACGGCCUUCGGGUUGUAAACCGCUUUCGCCUGUGACGAAGCGUGAGUGACGGUAAUGGGUAAAGAAGCACCGGCUAACUACGUG